GUGCUCGCUUCUGCAGCACAAAUACUAAAAUUGGAAUGAUACAGAGAAGAUUAGCAUAGCCCCUGUGCAAGGAUGGCAUGCAAAUUCAUGAAGCACUCCAUAUUUUU